rnacentral:lncRNA from 1 species
CCUGCAUGAGUGUGUGCUGUGUGUCAGAGUGGAUUGGAGUUGAAAAAGCUUGACUGGCGUCAUUCAGGAGCUGGAUGGCUUGGGACAUGUGCAGCCAAGACUCUGUAUGGAGUGACAUAGAGUGUGCUGCCCUGGUUGGUGAGGACCAGCCUCUUUGCCCAGAUCUUCCUGAACUUGACCUUUCUGAACUUGAUGUGAAUGACCUGGACACAGACAGCUUUCUGGGUGGAUUGAAGUGGUGUAGUGACCAAUCAGAAAUCAUAUCCAACCAGUACAACAAUGAGCCCGCGAACAUAUUCGAGGCAAAGGAAGACCAGCUUGCUGUACCAUAGCAAAUGAAAGUUUUCUUAAAGCUUUCUCCUUGGUGACUUUGCAAUGUGUAAUUUAAAAGCAGAAAGCAAAGAAGAAGCAGUUUAAAACAGUAGGCUGUGCUUCUCGGCCCCAACCAGUCCUGGGGCGUAUGCUCAAUAAACUAUCCCUAUCUGACUCAGAGGGAAAAAAGUA